rnacentral:misc_RNA from 1 species
GAUGAAGAACGUAGCGAAAUGCGAUACGUAAUGUGAAUUGCAGAAUUCAGUGAAUCAUCGAGUCUUUGAACGUACAUUGCGCCCCCUGGUAUUCCGGGGGGCAUGCCUGUCCGAGCGUCAUUUCUGCCCUCAAGCACGGCUUGUGUGUUGGGCCGCGUCCCCCCGGGGACGGGCCCGAAAGGCAGCGGCGGCACCGCGUCCGGUCCUCGAGCGUAUGGGGCUUUGUCACCCGCUCUUGUAGGCCCGGCCGGCGCCAGCCGACCCAACCAAUCUUUCUCAGGUUGACCUCGGAUCAGGUAGGGAUACCCGCUGAACUUAAGCAUAUCAAUAAGCGGAGGA